ACAGCACAAGAAGAAAAAGAACUUCUUGAAUCACUACCUCUUAGCAAGCUCUGUAAUGAAGAACAGGAAUUGCUGCGUUUUCUAUUUGAGAACAAAUUAAAAAAAUAUAAUAAGCCUAGUGAAACGGUCAUCCCUGAGUCUGUAGAUGGCUUGCAAGAGAAUCUGGAUGUGGUAGUGUCUUUAGCUGAGAGACAUUAUUAUAACUGUGAUUUUAAAAUGUGCUACAAGCUUACUUCUGUAGUGAUGGAGAAAGAUCCUUUCCAUGCAAGUUGUUUACCUGUACAUAUAGGGACACUUGUAGAGCUGAAUAAAGCCAAUGGUGUCUUGGUUUGCAGUGGGAUGUUACUAUCUCAUGGUUGGUCAUAAAAAUGAACAUGCCAGAAGAUAUCUCAGGUAUGAAUUUAUUUUCUUCCUCCCUCUGUAGUUAACCAUCGAUGUCUUGCUCAUAAGCUUUCAGAUAGUAAUGAGUGAGUACUUUAAAAGCAAUGUGAAAGAAUAAAUGUUUCCUUCCUUCCUUCCGUCCUUUUUCUUUUCUC
rnacentral:lncRNA from 1 species